CAGGCCUGUCGGGAUCUGCCAGUCUGAAGGGGAUUUCCUGGGGCCGGCCCAGUUCUCAGCCCUCUGACGUCAUCCUUGGAUGGGCGCCCAGAGCACAGCUCUAGUGGGAAAGCAGGCAGGCACAUUCGCAGCCCACUUGUCGUCCAUCCCUCAGGGUGGCUGGGGUCUCCCUACUCUUACCUUCCAGGUGAGGACGUGGGGUGUCCAUACUGUUGAAAGAAGAAGCACUGCCCCCCACCCAAGAUCCUGAUUUGUCUGCUGUGUGACCUCAGCCUUCUGGAGACAGAGCUCGAGGGAGGAGACUGGCGGGCAGCUGGGCAGCUGGGCAGCUGUGGACGGAGGCCGGGCACAACACAACCAGACUCUGCGAGAGUUGGUGCCAAGUCCAGCUCCAGUCCCAACAUUUGAGUGCUGUGCGUCAGUGGCUCCUGGCUUUUCCAUUCUGGCGCUGAAGAUGACAGUCCCUGGGGGAGACCCGGCCACAUCCUGCCAGCUCUGGUCUCUGCACUCUGCACAGCCUCUCCCCCGCUGCACCCUUCCUCUGCCAGGACCAAGGCACAGUGUCUUAGAUGGGGAGACCACGGACUUGCCAGAGUUUGAGGCAGACCUUGGUGAGUCCCUCACCC
rnacentral:lncRNA from 1 species